rnacentral:tRNA from 1 species
GCCUCCGUGGCUCAGUGGUUGAGCGUUGGGCUCACGAUCCGGAGGUCCCGGGUUCGAAUCCCGGUGGGGACA